rnacentral:rRNA from 1 species
UACAGAGGGUGCGAGCGUUAAUCGGAAUUACUGGGCGUAAAGCGUGCGCAGACGGUCAUGUAAGUCGGGUGUGAAAGCCCCGGGCUCAACCUGGGAACUGCAUUUGUGACUGCAUGGCUAGAGUGCGGCAGAGGGGGAUGGAAUUCCGCGUGUAGCAGUGAAAUGCGUAGAUAUGCGGAGGAACACCGAUGGCGAAGGCAAUCCCCUGGGCCUGCACUGACGCUCAUGCACGAAAGCGUGGGGAGCAAACAGG